rnacentral:rRNA from 1 species
UACGUAGGGCGCAAGCGUUGUCCGGAAUUAUUGGGCGUAAAGAGCUCGUAGGCGGUCUGUCGCGUCGAAUGUGAAAAUCCGAGGCUCAACCUCGGACCUGCAUUCGAUACGGGCAGACUAGAGUUCGGUAGGGGAGUCUGGAAUUCCUGGUGUAGCGGUGAAAUGCGCAGAUAUCAGGAGGAACACCGGUGGCGAAGGCGGGACUCUGGGCCGAUACUGACGCUGAGGAGCGAAAGCGUGGGGAGCAAACAGG